rnacentral:sRNA from 1 species
ACUUCCGAUGGUUUUCUAAAUAAACUAAAUUGAUCGUGGUUACCAUCUGUCGUCAAUAUAAUUGUGACACUCUUCGCAUAUUUAAUUAAUCCUUUGAUUAUUAAAUACUCAAUCGUU